UACGAACCGUACAAACGUUAUUCGGAAUCACUGGGCUUAAAGGGUGCGUAGGCGGCCAUGUAAGUGGGGUGUGAAAUCCCUCGGCUCAACCGAGGAACUGCGCUCCAUACUGCAUGGCUUGAGGGAGACAGGGGUAAGCGGAACUGAUGGUGGAGCGAUGAAAUGCGUUGAUAUCAUCAGGAACACCGGUGGCGAAAGCGGCUUACUGGGUCUCUUCUGACGCUGAGGUACGAAAGCUAGGGGAGCGAACGGG
rnacentral:rRNA from 1 species